AACUCCGCCGGCCGCCCCGCCCCGCGCGCUCCAGACCCCCGGGGCGGCUGCCGGGAGAGAUGCUGGAAGAAACUUCUUAAAUGACCGCGUCUGGCUGGCCGUGGAGCCUUUCUGGGUUGGGGAGAGGAAAGGAAAGUGGAAAAAACCUGAGAACUUCCUGAUCUCUCUCGCUGUGAGACAUGUCUGAGACUCCUGCUCAGUGUAGCAUUAAGCAGGAACGAAUUUCAUAUACACCUCCAGAGAGCCCAGUGCCGAGUUACGCUUCCUCGACGCCACUUCAUGUUCCAGUGCCUCGAGCGCUCAGGAUGGAGGAAGACUCGAUCCGCCUGCCUGCGCACCUGCGUUCUGGGGAUUAGGACACGGACAUUUCUAUUUGGCAGCCAGCAUUCAGCCCUCUCCAGUCACUGAGCUACACAGAAUGAAAAGCACCUUUGAAGAAUCGUAAGCCAUGAAUGAUGACGGGCCGAAGGGAGUGAGGGCUCCUACCUCUUGUCACUCCUACCAUCCUGCCUCCAGGACCCCUGCCACCUACUUGGGAGUCUGCCCUUAAAACUCAAGGGUCACCUG
rnacentral:sRNA from 1 species